GAUGAACGCUGGCGGCGUGCCUAAUACAUGCAAGUCGAGCGAACGGACGAGAAGCUUGCUUCUCUGAUGUUAGCGGCGGACGGGUGAGUAACACGUGGAUAACCUACCUAUAAGACUGGGAUAACUUCGGGAAACCGGAGCUAAUACCGGAUAAUAUUUUGAACCGCAUGGUUCAAAAGUGAAGGACGGUCUUGCUGUCACUUAUAGAUGGAUCCGCGCUGCAUUAGCUAGUUGGUAAGGUAACGGCUUACCAAGGCAACGAUGCAUAGCCGACCUGAGAGGGUGAUCGGCCACACUGGAACUGAGACACGGUCCAGACUCCUACGGGAGGCAGCAGUAGGGAAUCUUCCGCAAUGGGCGAAAGCCUGACGGAGCAACGCCGCGUGAGUGAUGAAGGUCUUCGGAUCGUAAAACUCUGUUAUUAGGGAAGAACAUAUGUGUAAGUAACUGUGCACAUCUUGACGGUACCUAAUCAGAAAGCCACGGCGAACUACGU
rnacentral:rRNA from 1 species